UACGUAGGGCGCAAGCGUUGUCCGGAAUUAUUGGGCGUAAAGAGCUCGUAGGCGGUCUGUUGCGUCCGCUGUGAAAACCCGGGGCUUAACCCCUGGCUUGCAGUGGAUACGGACAGACUAGAGGUAGGUAGGGGAGAAUGGAAUUCCCGGUGUAGCGGUGAAAUGCGCAGAUAUCGGGAGGAACACCGGUGGCGAAGGCGGUUCUCUGGGCCUUACCUGACGCUGAGGAGCGAAAGCGUGGG
rnacentral:rRNA from 1 species